rnacentral:lncRNA from 1 species
UUCAAGGUCAAAAGUCACAAAAAUAUCACUUAAUGUUUUAUCAAAAGUCAUAAAUUUAGGGUUUAGAGUUAAAGGGUGGGGUUUAGGAUUUAGGGUUUAGAGUUUAGGGUUUAGAGUUUAGGGUUUGGGGUUUAGAUUUUAGGGUUUAGGGUUUAGGGUUUAGGGUUUACGGUUUAGGGUUUAGGGUUUAGAGUUUAGGGUUUAGAGUUUAGAGUUGAGAAAUGAGGUUUUGGGGAU